rnacentral:rRNA from 1 species
AUUGAACGCUGGCGGCAGGCCUAACACAUGCAAGUCGAACGAGUGGCGGACGGGUGAGUAAUGUCUGGGAAACUGCCUGAUGGAGGGGGAUAACUACUGGAAACGGUAGCUAAUACCGCAUACCAUCAGAUGUGCCCAGAUGGGAUUAGCUUGUUGGUGGGGUAACGGCUCACCAAGGGGACGAUCCCUAGCUGGUCUGAGAGGAGGACCAGCCACCCUGGAACUGAGCACCGUUCCAGCCCCCUACGGGAGGCAGCAGUGGUGAAUUUUGACCAAUGGGCGCAAGCUUGAUGCGUCCAUGCCGGGUGUAGGAAGGAGGCUUUCGGGUUGUAAAGUACUUUCAGCGGGGAGACGUUACCCGCAGAAGAAGCACCGGCUAACUCCGUGCCAGCAGCCGCGGUAAUC